rnacentral:tRNA from 1 species
GCCCCAGUGGCGCAAUUGGUUAGCGCAAGGUACUUAUAGUGCCGGGGUUGUGAGUUCGAGCCUCACCUGGGGCA